GACGAACGCUGGCGGCGUGCCUAACACAUGCAAGUCGAGCGAGAGACUUCGGUCUCUAGCGGCGGACGGGUGAGUAACACGUGGGUAACCUGCCUCAUAGAGGGGGAUAGCCUCCCGAAAGGGAGAUUAAUACCGCAUAAUAUGGAUUAAUCGCAUGAUUGAUUCAUUAAAGGAGUAAUCCGCUAUGAGAUGGACCCGCGGCGCAUUAGCUAGUUGGAGAGGUAAAGGCUCACCAAGGCGACGAUGCGUAGCCGACCUGAGAGGGUGAUCGGCCACAUUGGAACUGAGACACGGUCCAGACUCCUACGGGAGGCAGCAGUGGGGAAUAUUGCACAAUGGGGGAAACCCUGAUGCAGCAACGCCGCGUGAGUGAUGAAGGCCUUCGGGUUGUAAAGCUCUGUCAUUGGGGACGAUAAUGACGGUACCCAAUGAGGAAGCCACGGCUAACUACGUGCCAGCCGCCGCAGUAAAAC
rnacentral:rRNA from 1 species